rnacentral:lncRNA from 1 species
UUUCCAUCUCGGCUUCUUCACUACCUCCCUUAUUACCUCAUCAUUUUUAUUCUCCUCAAUCUCCACAUUUUUUUAUUUUCAACUUCACCAUUUAUUUUUAUUUUUUCAACCACUUCCUCAUCACUCCACACUCCUACUUCACCAUCGACAUUUUCUUCCACUAUCUCCUCCUCAAUCUCCUUCUCUUUCUCUCUUUUUUCAC